GAGGCAGCAGUAGGGAAUCUUCCGCAAUGGACGAAAGUCUGACGGAGCAACGCCGCGUGAGUGAUGAAGGCUUUCGGGUCGUAAAACUCUGUUGUUAGGGAAGAACAAGUGCUAGUUGAAUAAGCUGGCACCUUGACGGUACCUAACCAGAAAGCCACGGCUAACUACGUGCCAGCAGCCGCGGUAAUACGUAGGUGGCAAGCGUUAUCCGGAAUUAUUGGGCGUAAAGCGCGCGCAGGUGGUUUCUUAAGUCUGAUGUGAAAGCCCACGGCUCAACCGUGGAGGGUCAUUGGAAACUGGGAGACUUGAGUGCAGAAGAGGAAAGUGGAAUUCCAUGUGUAGCGGUGAAAUGCGUAGAGAUAUGGAGGAACACCAGUGGCGAAGGCGACUUUCUGGUCU
rnacentral:rRNA from 1 species